GUCGUUGCAAAAAUCAUGUCAAGUAUUGAUGAGCUUAUAAUCUUUUAAAUCUCUUAGUUUGUUUCUCUUUCCUUCUGUGAUAAAGGUUUACUCGACUCAUUGCUGACUGAAGUCAAGAGCUUCGGAGUGAGCUCAAACAAGUCCGAGAUGAACCGUGAACGUGAUCGCCAGGUUGCACAGUCACAGAAGCUGGCUGAUGAGAUACUCAAGUAUUAAGAGAGUGUUGGAAAGUCAUCUAAUGAACUAGACAUUUUGAUUGUAAAAUCAGUAUCAUUGGAGGAAACAUGUUCCUCGCAAAAAGAGCGUAUAAAAAUGUGGGAGCAGGAAUUAACUUUUGCUAAUGGUGUGAUCCGAUUGGUUCGUUACAUUGACUUUUAAUGUGCUUUCUACCGAUGGUAGAUGCGUCUAUGUCUCUUACUAUGACGGAGUUUGAGGAUAAAAUAAAACAUAUGCAUGAGCUGCAAGACCGCCUUGCAGACACGGAGCGUCAACUUUUCGAAGGAGAGGUGUUGAGGAAGAAGCUUCACAACACCAUUCUUGAACUGAAAGGAAACAUACGUGUGUUCUGCCGACUGCGCCCCUUGCUACCGGAUGAUGGAGGACACCAAGAGGCCAGCGUCAUUGCUUACCCUAGAUCAUCUGAAUCUCUUGGGAGAGGCAUUGAUGUGGUCCAAAGUGGGUAACAAGCAUCCUUUCACACUUGACAAGGUUUUCGACCAUGGAGCUUCUCAGGAGGAAGUAUUCUUUAUCGCAACUUGUUCAAAGCGCAUUGGAUGGCUACAAGGUUUGUUAUCUUCUUAUUCUGACUAUCUUGUAGAUCCUUUGGUAAAUGCAACUAUUUGUAUCUGACAACACUUUGACUGAUCUUUCUUUUGUCAUUUGCCUGCCUUAAAUCUUUGUGGACAUAAGUUUGUAUUUUUGCAUACGGCCAAAUAGGUUCUGGCAAAACCUAUACCAUGAUGGGCAGGCCUGAAACGCCAGAGCAGAAGGGACUGAUCCCUCGUUCGCUUGAACAAAUGUUCAAAACGAGCCAGUCUCUUAGUGCACAAGGCUGGAAAUACAAGAGGCGUGUAUCUAUUUUUCCCAGAAUGGUGAAACAUUUGUUUAAUGCUUUGAUUGCUAGCGCUGUUUCUUAUUGGAUUUUUAACAUAAAACCCCCUC